rnacentral:rRNA from 1 species
UACAGAGGUCUCAAGCGUUGUUCGGAUUCAUUGGGCGUAAAGGGCGCGUAGGCGGCCUGCUAAGUCGGAUGUGAAAUCCCUCGGCUCAACCGAGGAACUGCAUCCGAUACUGGCGGGCUUGAAUCCGGGAGAGGGAUGUGGAAUUCCAGGUGUAGCGGUGAAAUGCGUAGAUAUCUGGAGGAACACCGGUGGCGAAGGCGGCAUUCUGGACCGACAUUGACGCUGAGGAGCGAAAGCCAGGGGAGCAAACGGG